UACGGGGGGAGCAAGCGUUGUUCGGAUUUACUGGGCGUAAAGGGCGCGUAGGCGGUCAGCACAAGUCAGUUGUGAAAUCUCCGGGCUUAACCCGGAAAGGUCAACUGAUACUGCAGGGCUAGAGUGCAGAAGGGGCAACUGGAAUUCUCGGUGUAGCGGUGAAAUGCGUAGAUAUCGAGAGGAACACCUGCGGCGAAGGCGGGUUGCUGGGCUGACACUGACGCUGAGGCGCGAAAGCCAGGGGAGCGAACGGG
rnacentral:rRNA from 1 species